rnacentral:tRNA from 1 species
UCCGGGUUCGUCUAAUGGUAGGACCUUGGACUCUGAAUCCAAGUAUCCUCGUUCGAAUCGAGGACCCGGAG